CACGUAGGGCGCAAGCGUUGUCCGGAAUUAUUGGGCGUAAAGAGCUCGUAGGCGGUCUGUUGCGUCCGCUGUGAAAACCCGGGGCUUAACCCCUGGCUUGCAGUGGAUACGGACAGACUAGAGGUAGGUAGGGGAGAAUGGAAUUCCCGGUGUAGCGGUGAAAUGCGUAGAUAUCUGGAGGAACACCGGUGGCGAAGGCGGCAUCCUGGACCGGUAUUGACGCUGAGGUGCGAAAGCUAGGGGAGCAAGCGAG
rnacentral:rRNA from 1 species